rnacentral:rRNA from 1 species
CUGGCUCAGGAUGAACGCUGGCGGCGUGCUUAACACAUGCAAGUCGAACGAAGCAAUUUUCUACGAUCCCUUCGUGGUGACGGAUUAUUGACUGAGUGGCGGACGGGUGAGUAACGCGUGGGUAACCUACCUUGUACAGGGGGACAACAGUUGGAAACGACUGCUAAUACCGCAUAAGCGCACAGUACCGCAUGGUACAGUGUGAAAAGUUUUUUCGGUACAAGAUGGACCCGCGUCUGAUUAGCUAGUUGGUGAGGUAACGGC